rnacentral:tRNA from 1 species
CGGGAUAGCUCAGCUGGUAAAGCAAAGGACUGAAAAUCCUCGGG